GUCCACGCCCUAAACGAUGUCUACUAGUUGUUGGUGGAGUAAAUCCAUGAGUAACGCAGCUAACGCGUGAAGUAGACAGCCUGGGAGUACGGUCGCAAGAUUAAAACUCAAAUGAAUUGACGGGGCCCGCACAAGCGGUGGAUUAUGUGGAUUAAUUCGAUGCAACGCGAAAAACCUUACCUGGCCUUGACAUGUAACGAACUUUCCAGAGAUGGAUUGGUGCUCGAAAGAGAGCGUUAACACAGGUGCUGCAUGGCUGUCGU
rnacentral:rRNA from 1 species